rnacentral:rRNA from 1 species
AUGGCUGUAUCCUUUGUAUUUGUGGGCGGUGUGCGUAGCAGAGCAGCCUAUAAGUGCACUGUCUUGUUUGUCCAUAGGUUUUCCCUGCCGGAUCUAGCCGGCGGCAACUCCAUGAUGCGCAUCGAACCCACUGAUCCUCCGGACUGUACACCCUCCGAGUCCAGCAUGAGCGAUGCGGGUGACACAGCGUUGAUAGUGGAAGUGGAUUUACACAGUACUUGUGAGGGAGCGACCCUGACCCUGUCAGUGCCGAACUUAGAGCAGUCAAUUGGCAAAGAUGACCCCCAAGCCCCUGGCUGCACCAAGAGGGAAGCAAGUGAGAACUACGAAGAGAGGCGUACAAAGAUAUACAAGGUGGAGGAGACCACCAAGGGCAAAACCUAUUUCGUAAGACGAUAUCAUCCCGAGAAAUAUGAGAAGUGGUGCAGGGUUGUCUACAAAGUAAAAGUUGCCGAAGAAGGGAAAGAACUGAAGUGUGAGUGUGCUAAUUUUGAGCACACGGGUUUGCUAUGCUGCCAUUCAGUUAAGGUCCACGAUUGCCUCAGCAUAGACUGUAUACUGACAAAACAUAUUCUGAAAGGGUGGACAAAAGACGCAAGGGAUGUACUCCCCAACCACCUAUCACAUCUUCGGAGGGACAACAUCUCUUUGAAUUCAGUAACUUGUAGGCACUCAAAUUUGUACACCCAUGCUCUUGAAGCUGUACGACUUGGGGAUGCAAACACAGAAGCGUAUAAAUUGUGCCAUGAAUAUCCUCAAGACAGCAAUGGAUACAUUGACUCCUAUAGCCGCUUUCACUAUGCGCAACUCACAGCGGAUGUGGGAGUGACGCAGAAGCGGUGCGUGCUGGCACGAGUAAUACAAUACAGUGUGAGAGUGAAACGGAAACCAUGGAUCCAUAAACCUCGGCUGGAUCCUCGCAGGACUCGGUGGAAGGCAGGGCCGACGGCGCGUUGGUGGCGGAUGAAGCUUGAGAGGGAGAGGCUGAAGUGCAUUCCCGUUUUGCAGCGUUGGAACUUGGAAGAAGUCGGAGAAUACGAUCCAGAGAAUGGAGGUUCCGCCAGCGGUGACAACUGCUCCGAUAUGGGUAGCUACGCGGAAUCCAUGACCAACCUUGUGUGCAAGCAGACGCCGCCGUCGAUGGUGACAACCCACCCGCAAAGCGCCCAAAUCUUGUGCAAUGAUCCAACGGCUCGCGUUACGACCGCCGUCUGA